UACGAAGGGAGCUAGCGUUGUUCGGAAUUACUGGGCGUAAAGGGCGCGUAGGCGGCCGUAUAAGUCAGAUGUGAAAGCCCUGGGCUCAACCUAGGAAUUGCAUUUGAUACUGUACGGCUAGAGAUCGAAAGAGGAGAGUGGAAUUGCGAGUGUAGAGGUGAAAUUCGUAGAUAUUCGCAAGAACACCAGUGGCGAAGGCGGCUCUCUGGUUCGAUACUGACGCUAAGGCGCGAAAGCGUGGGGAGCAAACAGG
rnacentral:rRNA from 1 species